AAUUUUUAUGGAGAGUUUGAUCCUGGCUCAGGAUGAACGCUGGCGGCGUGCCUACUACAUGCAAGUCG
rnacentral:rRNA from 1 species